rnacentral:tRNA from 1 species
AAGGGAUUAGUUAAUUCAUAUAACACCAGCAUGUCAAGCUGAAAUAAUCAACAACCAAGAUAUCCCUUU